AUACGGAGGGUGCAAGCGUUAUUCGGAAUCACUGGGCGUAAAGGACGCGUAGGCGGGAAGCCAAGUCUGAUGUGAAAUCCUAUGGCUUAACCAUAGAACUGCAUUGGAAACUGGUUACCUAGAGUAUGGGAGGGGGAGAUGGAAUUAGUGGUGUAGGGGUAAAAUCCGUAGAUAUCACUAGGAAUACCGAAAGCGAAGGCGAUCUCCUGGAACAAUACUGACGCUAAGGCGUGAAAGCGUGGGGAGCAAACGGGAUUAGAUACCCCUGUAGUCC
rnacentral:rRNA from 1 species